rnacentral:tRNA from 2 species
UGCCCUUUAGUUUAUUUGGUAGAACGCCAGAUUCUGACUCUGGUGGAGCGGGUUCAAGUCCUGCAGGGGCAG